CAGACACAAGGCUUAUGGUUUCACAUUCCAACCUUUUACCUCAAGGAUAAUGCCCCAUCCUAGGUGCAGCGAUGGGCGACGGUGGCGGCGCUCGCAGGGGCGGCCGCCGGCGGCAACAUCGCAGGACGUCGACGCGCCCAAGAUCCCCGGCUUCUCGAACGAUUUCAUGCUCGUACGCCCCCUCCCCCCCUCCUCCCCGCAUUUCCCGAGCGCGUGGAGCAGCCGGCCCCGGUUCCUGAUUUCGAGCCCAUGGCCGGGUGGCCGGCGGAGCUCCGUUCUGUCGGGCGCGUGACCCGGAGCCUCCCGAUUCUGAACCCGUGGCCGGGUGGCCGGCAGAGCUCCGUUCUGGUCGGGCGCGUGACCCCGGAGCCUCCCGAUAGCGAGCCCGUGGCCGGGUGGCCGGCGGAGAUCCAUUCUGGCCGUUCCUCACCCCGUGCGGCGCCAACGACGCUGUCCACCCGGCGCCACCGACCGUUCUCCCCCGGCGGCCUCCUGCAAGCAUAGCGAUGAGAGGAAAAAAGGGUGGUGUGCUUCGGUUGGAUGCCCCGUUACUAAACAAUCUUGUUGAAAAACUGCAGUUUGUUGUAAAUAUAUAUGUUUGAGUCUACGCCCUUUUGCUCUCUA